rfam:Lachancea thermotolerans CBS 6340 chromosome E complete sequence.
AACUAUAACAGUCGAUGAGGAUAGGUUUAAAGUUCAGAAAAAUUCCAAUAGUUACCCUUUCAAAGAUUUCUGCAUUUAUGCAGAGGUGUUUUGGAGUGGGUCGAUGAGGAAUGCGCUGCGGCCCUUUCACCACCUUCGUAGCGGCGCUUAAUAGACUACUGAGGCUG